rnacentral:other from 1 species
ACGGUUAUAAAUUAACAUAUUGAUUUAUAAGCAUGGAAAUCCCCUGAGUGAAACAACGAAUUGCUGUGUGUAGUCUUUGCCCAUCUCCCACGAUGGGCUUUUUUUUAA